rnacentral:rRNA from 1 species
UACGAAGGGGGCUAGCGUUGCUCGGAAUCACUGGGCGUAAAGCGCACGUAGGCGGCUUCUUAAGUCAGGGGUGAAAUCCUGGAGCUCAACUCCAGAACUGCCUUUGAUACUGAGAAGCUUGAGUCCGGGAGAGGUGAGUGGAACUGCGGGUGUAGAGGUGAAAUUCGUAGAUAUUCGCAAGAACACCAGUGGCGAAGGCGGCUCACUGGCCCGGUACUGACGCUGAGGUGCGAAAGCGUGGGGAGCAAACAGG